UACGUAGGCAGCGAGCGUUGUUCGGAGUUACUGGGCGUAAAGGGUGUGUAGGCGGUUGUUUAAGUUUGGUGUGAAAUCUCCCGGCUCAACUGGGAGGGUGCGCCGAAUACUGAAUGACUAGAGUGCGGGAGAGGAAAGUGGAAUUCCUGGUGUAGCGGUGAAAUGCGUAGAUAUCAGGAGGAACACCGGUGGUGUAGACGGCUUUCUGGACCGUAACUGACGCUGAGACACGAAAGCGUGGGGAGCAAACAGG
rnacentral:rRNA from 1 species